rnacentral:lncRNA from 1 species
AUGCUCCUCAGUUUCAUUCGAUCGCUCGUUUGCAUUGACUCCGUUUUGAAACUGAUCAAAAAAGAAAACAACAAACAUGAUUUUAUAAAUACAGAGAUUUCUAGUUUAGAGGAUGAGUGCAUCAAAGUGCAUCGACGCUGCGCACGUUUCCAGGAUCUUGAGCCGAUGGAGUGGAGCUGUGGCUCCGUUCUCCUCCUUCAUCUCCGCUCUUCCUUUUGCUUUUCACCACAGCAGCUUCUGCCUUCUUAUGAAACAACGUCUCAUCCUGCAUUUCAAAACAAGCUUAAGAAACCGAUAAAAACAAAGAUUGUCGAUUCGGGAACAGAGCAAACUUACAGUCUGAGAAUGAUCUGGAAUGUUUUCACACCGGCUGUCUGAUAAAUGACCCAGCUUCCUCUUUUUUAAGACCGCUAUAAAGAAAUAUUAAUGCAACGAAGCACGUGAGUUUAUCUAACUCGAUGUAAAUAUAAGUUUAUGAGGUUUUUUUAAUGUUACUGACCGCUUUCAGGGUCAGAAAUGAGGCGGGGAGAUCCUGACGGGGUCUGGGAUGCUGAAGCAGUUUCUCCAAAACUCGUGUGCUAAAAAAAUGACAUAAAAACAGAAAAAAAAAGGUUAAAAAUGUUUCCAAAAAGAAUGAAAUCUUUAGACUUUUUACCUGCCCGAUAGAAGGUUUGCUCAUGGUCUUGCGGGCCCGGUGGAUCUUGGGCGGGCCAGGGGAAACAGACGGGGAGGCAGAAGUGGAAGGAGAGGAGGAUGGAGCGAGCGGAGGAGAGGAUUUACUCCCAGAGGGGCCGCUAACACUCAUCUUUGCUCGACCGGGGGACAGCGUUAAGGACCCAGAGGACGCCAUCGACGAAGACGCUGAAGAAAGAGACUUGGUAGCGUGUCCUGCAGCCGGUUUGCUUGAUGCUGCGUGGAUCAGCGUUUCUUCUUCCUCUGCAGCACCGCCGCUGUCGCUCUGCGUUUGGCAUGACGGCAGCGCCUGCACCGCCCCAGUGGGCGUCGCUUUCUCAGCGUCAUCGGGCACGGGGAGGUCGUCAUCUGGAAUAAAAACAAGCAUGAGCCUUAAAAGAACAGUCACAAAAAAGCAAAAACAAGAUUUUUAUGAAGUGAAAUGAAUGAAGUUGUAAACGUACCUUUGUUUUCUUGACUUGUACUUGCUAUCGGCUCCUUUGGGGUUUCUGUGUCGUCAGUUUUAGAGUCAUCCUAUC